rnacentral:sRNA from 1 species
AACCAGUUAGAAGGGUUUGGAUUGGUUCGUCCCCUCGACUACCUACGUGGCGCUGGUGGUGAACGAGCUCUUUUGCCCCAGUAGCCUAGAAUAAUAUAAUCAUGAAAUCUGAGACUACUGUAGUGGAGAAAUCGUGCCUUAACCCUUCCAGUCCUCUGCUUUUCCUGCGUUAUCGUGUGCUUAGCAUCUCCUUUACCCCAGCCUCGAGACCAAUGCCUGUAUAGCAAGUCAAGUUUCCUUCGGCGUGCAUAUGCUUACUGAGGAUUAGCCUUCAAUAAAUGACACACAGGUAUUGUUCCCUCAUCUAGAAUUGAAUUCAAAUACAGAAAUCAUUACUGUUUACAAAUUAUCUUAUUAGUUUUCAUCUUGUCAGGAACGGACGAUGUCCAAAGAUUGCCCCAAAUUACCGAAUAUCCAUUGAAUUAUAAGAAUCAAUGAUGACUUUGAUAAUUAGUUAUAUGAAGGGAUUGCAGUAUUUAUAGGGAAGGGCAUGUGUAAAUGUAAUAAUAAAGGACUAGGUUGGGUUUCAAGAUAAUAAUGAGAUACAUUGUCUCCGACACAUCUAUUAAUAUUGUAAUGGUUAAACCAGCACGG